GAACCAAUGAUCUAGUCGUAAAUGUUUCGAUGUUAAAAAUAUCAUUUCUGAGUAAAGGACAUUGGCAAUAAAAAUUUUUAUUGCUUUAUCUGAAAGAGCAUGAAAAAAUAAGCCGAUUGGCCGUUUACUGCUCUGUUUUAUCUCAUCUGGUUCCGAAGUUAUACGCAAAAAUGUGCAGAAUAUAAAUUGCUGAUUCAGCACAACGUGUCACGUCAUUAGCACAGAAUAGGAAGUUAUACCAGAAGCGUAACUCGAGCAAAUAUUUGUCCGCGUUUUUACAAGCGAUUCGUCAUCAAUCACGCCAUCCUGGCUAGUACAACUAGCGGCACUUUGUACCUACCAAAUCCUGAUAAAAACUUCCGGCUGUACUAGCCAGGAUGGCGUGGCCUGACGUGAGCGAGUUAAAAUUUUCGUGGACGUCAAACAAUAAGGGAAACGACUAGAGUUACGCUUCUGGUAUAACUUCCUAUUCUGUGUCAUUAGUUUAUUGAAUAGUAAACUGAAGCAUAGCUCAGUUAUUAUUGGCUCAAAUCAAAUUUUGCAUACAGAUAGUACAUGAUGAGACGCAUUGGAAAAUACUUCCAAUAUUGUUGUCAAGGCAACACAGUCGUUCCCAGGCCCCUUACAUUGAUUUUGAAUAACUAGUUGCAUUUAUCUAUGUGUAUGUCAUUUUCGAAUUAUUAUCAUGCAAGUAAACUUUUGGCAUGCAUAGGUAUCAUACACAUACUUCUGAUAUUACUUUAUUCUUACAAGUACCAUGAAUAAAGCUGUUUUAUAAAAUUGGCACAAGGGGCCUGGGAACGACAUUGUUACCUAGGCAACAAAAUUGGAAGUGUUUUUCAAUGCGUCUCAUCGUGUACAAUCAGUAUGCAAAAUUUCAUUUGAUUUGGGUCCAUAAUAACUGAGCUAUGCUUCAGUUUAGUAUUCAUUAAACAUACUUACCCAACUAAUGACGUCACACGUUGUGCUGAAUCAGCAACUUAUAUUUUGCACAUUUUUGCGUAUAACUUCGGAACUAGAUGAGAUAGAAUAGAGCAUUAAACGGCCAAUCGGCUUAUUUUUCCAUGCUCUUUCAGAUGAAGCAAUAAUUUUUUUGUUGCCAAUACCCUUUAAUGAAGUAUGCUGUCAAUGCAUUGUCAAAAUGUUACGGAAGGAAAAUAAAAGAAAAUAAAUUGUUGUCAAGCACAAUUUCUUGCAAACCACUUGACAACUGAUCUCGCAUUACAAACAACUUGGCAUCUAAACAUCGCGAUAAAAUUAUUAUUUUCCAUACUCAAGCGAAAAUGUUGGUCUGUUCACUAAAAUCAGUUUGUGUUAAAAAAGCAUGUUCGAUUUAUACUUUCGUCUUUGAGCCAUAUAUUUUCUUUGUAAAACAACUUGGUGUUACGCUUUUGAUUUCUCAGUGUAAAGUCUAUCAUUGGAGUUGUUUUACAAUAUUUAUUUUGAAGUAUAAACAUUUAUCUUGAAAAGACCAGGUUCUCUUGUUUCCUCAAGAAUUAACUUUUUUAAUGUUAAUUCGCGGGCAAACAAGUUUUUUAAUGUUGUGUUUUCACUUGUGCUUAUUCACUUGUGAUGAACACAAUGUUAAUUGUUCUCUUUGUGCCAUGUUCUGUUUUCUUCUAUUGUUAUUAUUUAAAUAAGUAUGCAGUGGUUGUUCUCUUUUUAUUGGUAUUCAAUUUGUAAUUACAAUUCUUUUCAAUAAAUUGUUCAUUAAUUAUACAAGAGACUCCUUUUUAAUUAAAAAUUCAAUUCCCAUGGGAAUUGAAAAAAACAACAAAAAAAAUUCCCCUACCCCGGCCGGCUCCCC